rnacentral:rRNA from 1 species
AGCGAACGCUGGCGGCAGGCUUAACACAUGCAAGUCGAACGAACGUAGCAAUACGUUAGUGGCAGACGGGUGAGUAACGCGUGGGAAUAUGCCCUAUGGUUUGGAAUAACUCAGGGAAACUUGAGCUAAUACCGGAUAAGCCCGAGAGGGGAAAGAUUUAUCGCCAUUGGAGUAGCCCGCGUCUGAUUAGCUAGUUGGUGAGGUAAUGGCUCACCAAGGCGACGAUUAGUAGCUGGUCUGAGAGGAUGAUCAGCCACACUGGGACUGAGACACGGCCCAGACUCCUACGGGAGGCAGCAGUGGGGAACAUUGGACAAUGGGGGCAACCCUGAUCCAGCCAUGCCGCGUGAGUGAUGAAGGCCUUAGGGUUGUAAAACUCUUUUAUCCGGGAAGAUAAUGACUGUACCGGAAGAAUAAGCCCCGGCUAACUUCGUGCCAGCCGCCGCAGUAAUAC